GAUGAACGCUGGCGGCGUGCCUAAUACAUGCAAGUCGAACGCUGAAGGAGGAGCUUGCUCUUCUGGAUGAGUUGCGAACGGGUGAGUAACGCGUAGGUAACCUGCCUGGUAGCGGGGGAUAACUAUUGGAAACGAUAGCUAAUACCGCAUGACAACAGUUAUUGCAUGAUAACUGUUUAAAAUGGGCAACUGCUCCACUACCAGAUGGACCUGCGUUGUAUUAGCUAGUUGGUGAGGUAACGGCUCACCAAGGCGACGAUACACAGCCGACCUGAGAGGGUGAUCGGCCACACUGGGACUUAGACACGGCCCAGACUCCUACGGGAGGCAGCAGUAGGGAAUCUUCGGCAAUGGACGGAAGUCUGACCGAGCAACGCCGCGUGAGUGAAGAAGGUUUUCGGAUCGUAAAGCUCUGUUGUUAGAGAAGAACGAGUGUGAGAGUGGAAAGUUCACGCUGUGACGGUAUCUUACCAGAAAGGGACGGCUAACUACGUG
rnacentral:rRNA from 1 species